AAUUUUAAUCUUUCAGUCUCGACUAUGUUUGGUCACCGAAAGCUCUACCGAACUGUAAUCUCUAGCACAUAGCUGUCGGAUUUUAUUUUCUACCUUUCGAGUGUCGGAUUGACAUGAAACUUUAAAUAUAGCUUCAUAAAAGUAAUUCCGACAUAUCUUCCAGUUUUCAUAAUUUUCUGACACUGUGCAUUUUCUGCUUAAAAAGCAGCUCCGUUUCUCACAGAAAAUUCUAAAUCUUCUAUUUUCGUUUCAAUUUUAGCACGAGUCGUUUUCGACUUAUAUUUUACUUUUCUAAAUUCAAUAAAAAUAGUAUCUCACACUAUUUUUAUUUAUUUUUUACUUUUAUAUCAAAAUUCGGUAUGUUACAUUCUCCACCCCUUAAAAAAGAGUUUCGUCCGUAAAACUCAAACCACGCC
rnacentral:lncRNA from 1 species